GACGAACGCUGGCGGCGUGCUUAAUACAUGCAAGUCAACUGAACUUAAAGUAGCAAUAUUUUGAGGGAGGUGGCGCACGGGUGAGUAACACGUAGGUAAUCUGCCUUUAGGUCUGACAUAAUUCCGCGAAAGCGGGACUAAUAUCAGAUGAUGCAGCGGCUCGACAUCGAGACAGUUGUUAAACCUUCGGGGCCUAAAGAUGAGCCUGCGUCUGAUUAGGUAGUGGCGGAGUAAAAGACCCACCAAGCCUGCGAUCAGUAGCUGGUCUGAGAGGAUGAUCAGCCACACUGGAACUGAGACACGGUCCAGACUCCUACGGGAGGCAGCAGUAAGGAAUAUUGCUCAAUGGCCGAAAAGGCUGAAGCAGCAACGCCGCGU
rnacentral:rRNA from 1 species